UACGGGGGGGGCUAGCGUUGUUCGGAAUUACUGGGCGUAAAGCGCACGUAGGCGGCCUUGUAAGUUGGGGGUGAAAUCCCGGAGCUCAACUCCGGAACUGCCUUCAAGACUGCAAAGCUCGAGGACGCGAGAGGUUAGCGGAAUUCCGAGUGUAGAGGUGAAAUUCGUAGAUAUUCGGAAGAACACCAGUGGCGAAGGCGGCUAACUGGCGCGUUUCUGACGCUGAGGUGCGAAAGCGUGGGGAGCAAACAGG
rnacentral:rRNA from 1 species